AUUGAACGCUGGCGGCAUGCCUUACACAUGCAAGUCGAACGGUAACGCGGGGCAACCUGGCGACGAGUGGCGAACGGGUGAGUAGUGCAUCGGAACGUGCCCAAUAGUGGGGGAUAGCCCGGCGAAAGCCGGAUUAAUACCGCAUACGACCUAUGGGUGAAAGCGGGGGAUCGCAAGACCUCGCGCUAUUGGAGCGGCCGAUGUCAGAUUAGGUAGUUGGCGGGGUAAAGGCCCACCAAGCCUGCGAUCUGUAGCUGGUCUGAGAGGACGACCAGCCACACUGGGACUGAGACACGGCCCAGACUCCUACGGGAGGCAGCAGUGGGGAAUUUUGGACAAU
rnacentral:rRNA from 1 species